rnacentral:ncRNA from 1 species
UUUACUCUACUGAUGAAGCGUUGUUGCCACAGUAAUCCUGCUCAGUACGAGAGGAACCGCAGAUUCAGACAUUUGGUUCAUGUGCUUGGCUGAUAAGCCAAUGGUGCGAAGCUACCAUCUGAGGGAUUAUGACUGAACGCCUCUAAGUCAGAAUCCCGCCUGGAAAGCGACGAUGCAUUCGUGCCUCGGCCUCGAGAGGCGUAGCUAGACGGCCGCGUGGCCGUGGAAAGAGCCCGAUUCCGACCCGAGAGGCCGCGGCAAGAGGCGGCCUCGAAGUCGGUGGAUCCUCCUGCUCGAAAGGCGGGGUGCUAAACCAUUCGCAGACGACCUAGUUGAAGAUCGGGGUGUCGUGAUCACUAGAGCAGUACAUCUCACUGCGAUUUGUUGAGAGUAAGCCUCAAGAUCUGUCGGUUUGU